rnacentral:rRNA from 1 species
CACGUAGGGGCGAGCGUUGUCCGGAUUCAUUGGGACGUAAAGCGCGCGUCAGGCGGCUCGGAAAGUCGGGUGUGAAAACUCGGGCUCAAACCCGGGCGUGCUCCGAUACUGCCGGGCUUGAGGCAGGUAUGGGGAGAUCGGAAGUUCCUGGAUGUAGCGGUGAAAUGACGCAGAUAGUCAGGAGGAACACCGAUGGCGAAGGCAGGUCUCUGGGCAUUAACUGACGCUGAGGAGCGAAAGCAUGGGGAGCGAACAGG